GUGGGGAAUUUUGCACAAUGGGCGAAAGCCUGAUGCAGCGACGCCGCGUGGAGGAUGAAGGCCUUCGGGUUGUAAACUCCUUUUGUAGGGGACAAUAAUGAUGGUACCCUGCGAAUAAGCCACGGCUAACUCUGUGCCAGCAGCCGCGGUAAGACAGAGGUGGCAAGCGUUGUUCGGAAUUACUGGGCUUAAAGGGCGCGUAGGCGGUGAGAUAAGUCUGAGGUGAAAUCUUAGGGCUUAACCCUAAAAUUGCCUUGGAAACUGUUUUACUUGAGUCAGCGAGGGGAUGGUGGAAUUCCCGGUGUAGCAGUGAAAUGCGUAGAUAUCGGGAGGAAGGCCGGUGGCGAAGGCGGCCAUCUGGUGCUGUACUGACGCUGAGGCGCGAAAGCGUGGGGAGCAAACAGGAUUAGAAACCCCAGUAGUCC
rnacentral:rRNA from 1 species